rnacentral:rRNA from 1 species
GUGUGACUGCGUACCUUUUGUAUAAUGGGUCAGCGACUUAUAUUCUGUAGCAAGGUUAACCGAAUAGGGGAGCCGAAGGGAAACCGAGUCUUAACUGGGCGUUAAGUUGCAGGGUAUAGACCCGAAACCCGGUGAUCUAGCCAUGGGCAGGUUGAAGGUUGGGUAACACUAACUGGAGGACCGAACCGACUAAUGUUGAAAAAUUAGCGGAUGACUUGUGGCUGGGGGUGAAAGGCCAAUCAAACCGGGAGAUAGCUGGUUCUCCCCGAAAGCUAUUUAGGUAGCGCCUCGUGAAUUCAUCUCCGGGGGUAGAGCACUGUUUCGGCAAGGGGGUCAUCCCGACUUACCAACCCGAUGCAAACUGCGAAUACCGGAGAAUGUUAUCACGGGAGACACACGGCGGGUGCUAACGUCCGUCGUGAAGAGGGAAACAACCCAGACCGCCAGCUAAGGUCCCAAAGUCAUGGUUAAGUGGGAAACGAUGUGGGAAGGCCCAGACAGCCAGGAUGUUGGCUUAGAAGCAGCCAUCAUUUAAAGAAAGCGUAAUAGCUCACUGGUCGAGUCGGCCUGCGCGGAAGAUGUAACGGGGCUAAACCAUGCACCGAAGCUGCGGCAGCGACGCUUAUGCGUUGUUGGGUAGGGGAGCGUUCUGUAAGCCUGCGAAGGUGUGCUGUGAGGCAUGCUGGAGGUAUCAGAAGUGCGAAUGCUGACAUAAGUAACGAUAAAGCGGGUGAAAAGCCCGCUCGCCGGAAGACCAAGGGUUCCUGUCCAACGUUAAUCGGGGCAGGGUGAGUCGACCCCUAAGGCGAGGCCGAAAGGCGUAGUCGAUGGGAAACAGGUUAAUAUUCCUGUACUUGGUGUUACUGCGAAGGGGGGACGGAGAAGGCUAUGUUGGCCGGGCGACGGUUGUCCCGGUUUAAGCGUGUAGGCUGGUUUUCCAGGCAAAUCCGGAAAAUCAAGGCUGAGGCGUGAUGACGAGGCACUACGGUGCUGAAGCAACAAAUGCCCUGCUUCCAGGAAAAGCCUCUAAGCAUCAGGUAACAUCAAAUCGUACCCCAAACCGACACAGGUGGUCAGGUAGAGAAUACCAAGGCGCUUGAGAGAACUCGGGUGAAGGAACUAGGCAAAAUGGUGCCGUAACUUCGGGAGAAGGCACGCUGAUAUGUAGGUGAAGUCCCUCGCGGAUGGAGCUGAAAUCAGUCGAAGAUACCAGCUGGCUGCAACUGUUUAUUAAAAACACAGCACUGUGCAAACACGAAAGUGGACGUAUACGGUGUGACGCCUGCCCGGUGCCGGAAGGUUAAUUGAUGGGGUCAGCGCAAGCGAAGCUCUUGAUCGAAGCCCCGGUAAACGGCGGCCGUAACUAUAACGGUCCUAAGGUAGCGAAAUUCCUUGUCGGGUAAGUUCCGACCUGCACGAAUGGCGUAAUGAUGGCCAGGCUGUCUCCACCCGAGACUCAGUGAAAUUGAACUCGCUGUGAAGAUGCAGUGUACCCGCGGCAAGACGGAAAGACCCCGUGAACCUUUACUAUAGCUUGACACUGAACAUUGAGCCUUGAUGUGUAGGAUAGGUGGGAGGCUUUGAAGUGUGGACGCCAGUCUGCAUGGAGCCGACCUUGAAAUACCACCCUUUAAUGUUUGAUGUUCUAACGUUGACCCGU